rnacentral:rRNA from 1 species
UACGGAAGGGGCAAGCGUUGUUCGGAAUCAUUGGGCGUAAAGGGCGCGUAGGUGGUCUUGUAUGUCUACCGUGAAAGCGUACGGCUCAACCGUAUUUAGUCGGUAGAAACUGCAGGACUUGAGGCUGGGAGGGGCUGGUGGAAUUCCCUGUGUAGCGGUGAAAUGCGUAGAGAUGGGGGAGAACACUCGUGGCGAAGGCGGCCGGCUGGACCAGUUCUGACACUGAGGCGCGAUAGCGUGGGGAGCAAACAGG